ACGGCUCAGUAACACGUAGCUAACCUACCCUAAAGUCGGGAAUAACCUCGGGAAACUGAGGCUAAUGCCCGAUAGAAGAUUUGUCCUGGAAUGGUAUUUCUUCUAAAUCUUCGGAGCUUUAGGAUGGGGCUGCGGCGGAUUAGGUUGUUGGCGGGGUAAUGGCCCACCAAGCCAGAGAUCCGUAAGGGCCCUUAGCGGGGGAGCCCUGAGAGGGAAUCUGAGACACUAUUCCCAGCCCUACGGGGUGCAGCAGCCGGGGAUUUUUUGCAAUGUACGCAAGUAUGACAGAGCGAGCCAAAGUGCUUUUCUGUAUUAUGAAAAGCUUUUGCCAGUUGUAAAAAGACUGGCGAAUAAGGACCGGGCAAGACCGGUGCCAGCCGCCGCGGUAAUCCCGGCGGUCCAAGUCGCAGCCACUUUUAUUGGGUCUAAAACAUCCGUAGCUUGCUUCGUAAGUCUUUUGUGAAAUCUCAUGUCUCAAGCACGAGGCGUGCAGGAGAUACUGCGUUGCUAGAGACUGGGGGACGUAAGAAGUACUAUCAGGGUAGUGGUUAAAUACGUUAAUCCUGGUGGGACUACCAACAGCGAAGGCAUCUUACGAUUACAGUUCUGACAGUGAGGGAUGAAGGCCAGGGGCGCAAAGUGGAUUAGAUACCCAUGUAGUCCUGGCAGUAAACACUGCACACUAAACAUCGGCACCUCCUCGAGAGGUAUCGGUGCUGCACCGAAGGGGAAAAGUGUGCUACCUGGGAAGUAUAGUCGCAAGGCCGAAACUUAAAGGAAUUGGCGGGGGAG
rnacentral:rRNA from 1 species